ensembl:lncRNA
GGGUGAAAAUAGAGUCUUGGGGGGUGAAAAUACCUUUCUAGAACACAGGUAGAUGUGAUUACCACACAGAACCAUUCUGGAGGACUAAAGACCUUUCUAGAACACAGGUAGAUGUGAUUACCACACAGAACCAUUCUGGAGGACUAAAGACCUUUCUAGAACACAGGUAGAUGUGAUUACCACACAUAACCAUUCUGGAGGAUAAAGACAUUUUCUAGAACACAGGUAGAUGUGAUUAGAUGUGGUAGAUGUGAUUACCACACAGAACCCGUCUGGAGGAUAAAGACUAUAAACCUAAGGUCUCCUUCGAUAGGCCAGGCAUUAUCUCCCUUAUAAUGCUUUCUUACAGGUCAGAUGCUGGUACAUGACUCCUUGUAGAAAUAGAUUUUAGGACGGCUGGGGACCUACGAGUCUGUUGGUGGGAUGAGACUGGGGGACCUACGAGUCUGUCGGUGGGAUGAGACUGGGGGACAUACGAGUCUGUCGGUGGGUUGAGACUGGGGGACAUACGAGUCUGUCGGUGGGAUGAGACUGGGGGUCAUACGAGUCUGUCGGUGGGAUGAGACUGGGGGACAUACGAGUCUGUCGGUGGGAUGGUACUGGGGGACAUACGAGUCUGUCGGUGGGAUGAGACUGGGGGACAUACGAGUCUGUCGGUGGGAUGAGACUGGGGGACAUACGAGUCUGUCGGUGGGAUGAGACUGGGGGACAUACGAG